rnacentral:rRNA from 1 species
UAGGGAAUCUUCCGCAAUGGACGCAAGUCUGACGGAGCAACGCCGCGUGAGUGAAGAAGGACUUCGGUUCGUAAAACUCUGUUGUUAGAGAAGAACAGCGCAUAGAGUAACUGUUAUGCGUGUGACGGUAUCUAACCAGAAAGCCACGGCUAACUACGUGCCAGCAGCCGCGGUAAUACGUAGGUGGCAAGCGUUGUCCGGAUUUAUUGGGCGUAAAGCGAGCGCAGGCGGUCAAUUAAGUCUGAUGUGAAAGCCCCCGGCUCAACCGGGGAGGGUCAUUGGAAACUGGUUGACUUGAGUGCAGAAGAGGAGAGUAGAAUUCCAUGUGUAGCGGUGAAAUGCGUAGAUAUAUGGAGGAACACCAGUGGCGAAGGCGACUCUCUGGUCUGUAACUGACGCUGAGGCUCGAAAGCGUGGGUAGCAAACAGG